rnacentral:miRNA from 1 species
GUAUUAUGUUGGUGCAAAAGUUAUUGCAGUUUUUGCUAUUUUUUUUUUUUUAAUGGCAAAAACCAGCAAUUACUUUUGCACUAACCUAAUAG